AUGCCACCAACUAACCUAUUCAUGUCAAGAUUAAUGCUAUCAGGCACCAAUCCAACACUCCCGGCUGGCUAUAUAAAGCAAAGCCGAGGAGGCAACGGGAGCACCAGAAAAACCCACCAGCCACCACGGCAAGAACAAGGAGGUAGACCAAGGAGGAGACGCGCCCGUGGCGGCGGAGAAGACGACGCGCCUAGCGGAGGAAACCAGAGGAGCGUGAUGGCGCCCUCGCACACACGCCCAUGGAGGACGAGGAUGCAUGUUAAGCUCGGUGGAUACACCGGCGACGACGACGAUGGAGAUCUUCAGGACAUCCAUAUAUAUAUAUGCAUCGUUAUUAUGCAUGGUGGGUUUAUGGUUCGCAUAUGUUUUCUCUGA
rnacentral:rRNA from 1 species